rnacentral:misc_RNA from 1 species
GAUGAAGAACGCAUCGAAAUGCGAUACGUAAUGUGAAUUGCAGAAUUCAGUGAAUCAUCGAAUCUUUGAACGCAUAUUGCGCUCUCUGGUAUUCCGGAGAGCAUGCUUGUUUGAGUAUCAGUAAACACCUCAACUUCCAUAUCUUUUUUGAAAUGGGAGUUGGACUUGAGUGAUCCCAACGCUUUUCCUCACCGAAAAGUGGCGGGUUACUUGAAAUGCAGGUGCAGCUGGACUUUUCUCUGAGCUAUAAGCAUAUCUAUUUAGUCUGCCUAAAAAACAGAUUAUUACCUUUGCUGCAGCUAACAUAAAGGAGAUUAGUUCUUGUGCUGACUGAUGCAGGAUUCACAAAGACAGGCUUCGGCCGACUUUGUAAACUCGAUCUCAAAUCAAGUAAGACUACCCGCUGAACUUAAGCAUAUCAAUAGCGGAGGA